AGAGUUUGAUCAUGGCUCAGAUUGAACGCUGGCGGCAGGCCUAACACAUGCAAGUCGAGCGGAUGACGGGAGCUUGCUUCCUGAUUCAGCGGCGGACGGGUGAGUAAUGCCUAGGAAUCUGCCUGGUAGUGGGGGACAACGUCUCGAAAGGGACGCUAAUACCGCAUACGCCCUACGGGGGAAAGGGGGGGAUCUUCGGACCUCUCGCUAUCAGAUGAGCCCGCGUCGGAUUAGCUAGUUGGUGGGGUAAAGGCCUACCAAGGCGACGAUCCGUAACUGGUCUGAGAGGAUGAUCAGUCACACUGGAACUGAGACACGGUCCAGACUCCUACGGGAGGCAGCAGUGGGGAAUAUUGGACAAUGGGGGAAACCCUGAUCCAGCCAUGCCGCGUGUGUGAAGAAGGCCUUAGGGUUGUAAAGCACUUUCAGUGGGGAGAAAGGUGGUUCACCUAAUACGUGAAUCAAUUGAUGUUACCCACAGAAGAAGCACCGGCUAACUCCGUGCCAGCCGCCGCGGUAAUAC
rnacentral:rRNA from 1 species